rnacentral:misc_RNA from 1 species
AACUUUUAGCUACGGAUCACUUGGCUCUCGCAUCGAUGAAGAACGCAGCGAAAUGCGAUAAGUAAUGUGAAUUGCAGAAUUCAGUGAAUCAUCGAAUCUUUGAACGCACCUUGCGCCCUUUGGCUAUUCUGAAGGGCAUGCCUGUUUGAGUAUCAUGAACACCUCAACUCUCAUGGUCCGCCAUGAUGAGCUUGGACUUUGGGGGUCUUGCCGGCCCAGUGUCGGCUCCUCUCAAAUGGAUCAGUUUGCCAGUGUUUGGUGGCGUCAAAGGUGUGAUAACUAUCUACGCUUGUAGUUUUCUGCCAUAUAACCUUCAGUGAUGGAGGUUCUCUGCAGCUCACCGAUGUCUCUCCUUGGGGAGGACAGCUUUUGAACGUUUGAUCUCAAAUCAGGUAGGACUACCCGCUGAACUUAAGCAUAUCAAUAAGCGGAGGCU